CCUACGGGAGGCAGCAGUGGGGGAUAUUGCACAAUGGGGGGAACCCUGAUGCAGCGACGCCGCGUGGGUGAAGAAGCGCCUCGGCGCGUAAAGCCCUGUCAGCAGGGAAGCAAAUGACGGUACCUGACGAAGAAGCCCCGGCUAACUACGUCCCAGCAGCCGCGGUAAUACGGAGGGGGCAAGCUUUAUCCGGAUUUACUGGGUGUAAAGGGGGCGCAGACGGCGCUGCAAGCCAGGAGUGAAAGCCCGGGGCCCAACCCCGGGACUGCUCUUGGAACUGCGUGGCUGGAGUGGAGGAGGGGGAGGCGGAAUUCCUGGUGUAGCGGUGAAAUGCGUAGAUAUCAGGAGGAACACCGGUGGCGAAGGCGGCCUGCUGGACUGCAACUGACGUUGAGGCCCGAAAGCGUGGGGAGCAAACAGGAUUAGAUACCCGUGUAGUC
rnacentral:rRNA from 1 species